GAUGAACGCUGGCGGCGUGCUUAACACAUGCAAGUCGAACGAAGCAUUUAAGACAGAUUACUUCGGUUUGAAGUCUUUUAUGACUGAGUGGCGGACGGGUGAGUAACGCGUGGGUAGCCUGCCUCAUACAGGGGGAUAGCAGCUGGAAACGGCUGGUAAUACCGCAUAAGCGCACAGUACCACAUGGUACAGUGUGAAAAACUCCGGUGGUAUGAGAUGGACCCGCGUCUGAUUAGCUAGUUGGCGGGGUAACGGCCCGCCAAGGCGACGAUCAGUAGCCGACCUGAGAGGGUGACCGGCCACAUUGGGACUGAGACACGGCCCAGACUCCUACGGGAGGCAGCAGUGGGGAAUAUUGCACAAUGGAGGAAACUCUGAUGCAGCGACGCCGCGUGAGUGAAGAAGUAGUUCGCUAUGUAAAGCUCUAUCAGCAGGGAAGAUAGUGACGGUACCUGACGAAGAAGCUCCGGCUAAAUACGUG
rnacentral:rRNA from 1 species